GAACAUGGAAUAUUUUAACCAGUUGUGUAUGGACUUCCUAUUCAGACAUAAGCUGUCCUUAAUUUGAACCAGAGAAAGAAUAAUAGUAUUUAUGUUGUAGACUCUGAAUGUGUUUUCUGGGGAGACCUUGUGGCUACAAGUUAAAGACCUGUUGGAGAUAAUGGAAGACAACUUACCUUUAAUUGGUCAAGAGAGAUUCCGAGGGAGCAGAGGGAUGAAGUUUUCCACAGACUGACUGGAGCCAACUGUGGAGACAGAGAUUCUAAGCUGAAUGAAGUGGGAACCUAGUGAUACCUAGGCACUCAGACCAAUGGAAUCUACAGAAGAAAGGAUCUUUCUCUACUGGAACAACAAAUAUGGUUUGUGAAUCGGUUUUGAAUCUUGGACAGACCUGAGGGUUGAAGCAGUUCACCAGCAUCUUUCAGUGUAUCAUCUGACUAGGUGCCAACAGCACAGUACCUCCAGGAACUAAGAACCUUCCGGUGUCUAGUCAUUACCUGAUGACAUCUGAUGAGGUUGUGCACUCCUGGUAAGCAAUAAACAAACCUUCUAUGUGGACAAAGAUUCAUAUUGUGAUUGGGAAUGGAAGACUGUGAACACUCUUUAUUUUCUAGUUUCAAAUUUAUGAGGACAACCAGUUUCCUCAAAUUUC